UACAGAGGUCCCGAGCGUUGUUCGGAUUCACUGGGCGUAAAGGGUGCGUAGGUGGUGAGGUAAGUCGGAUGUGAAAUCUCCGAGCUCAACUCGGAAUGGCAUUGGAAACUACCUUGCUUGAGGGUUGGAGGGGGACUGGAAUACUUGGUGUAGCAGUGAAAUGCGUAGAUAUCAAGUGGAACACCAGUGGCGAAGGCGACGUCCCUGGACGAACUCCUGACACUGAGGCACGAAAGCUAGGGGAGCAAACAGG
rnacentral:rRNA from 1 species